GGACCCUCCCUCCCUCUGGGGGGACCCUCCCUCUCUGUGGGGACCCUCCCUCUCUGUGGGGACCCUCCCUCUCUCUGUGGGGACCCUCCCUCUCUCCUGGGGGACCCUCCCUCUCUCCGUGGGGACCCUCCCUCUCUCUGUGGGGACCCUCCCUCUCUGUGGGGACCCUACCUCUCUCUGUGGGGACCCUCCCUCCCUCUGUGGGGACCCUCCCUCUCUCUGUGGGACCCUCCCUCUCUGUGGGGACCCUCCCUCUCUCCAUGGGGACCCUCCCUCUCUCCAUGGGGACCCUCCCUCUCUCCGUGGGGACCCUCCCUCUCUCUGUGGGGACCCUCCCUCUCUGUGGGGACCCUCCCUCUCUCCAUGGGGACCCUCCCUCUCUCUGUGGGGACCCUCCCUCUCUGUGGAGACCCUCCCUCUGUGCUUCUAUUCUAGGAAGUGGUUUGGGUUCAGGACUCAGGAUCUUGGAUUCUGCUGCCACUGGCACGUGGGGACCAGCCUCAAUUCCACCUGACCUGGGCGAGGCUUUCUGAUCCUCCUCCUCAUCUCCUACCCCCCACCUGCUGAUGGAUCACAAGUGCUUUCGGUGCCCUCUUCAGAAAUAUUGGUUUCCUGAAGAUCGUGAUGAUAUUUAUGAGAAGGAUUUCUGGAAGAAGCUGGUUAAAUGUGACUGCACAAAGAUCUGAAGAAGCAGUGGGAGACAAGACUCUUCCAGGAAGGAAGACCAGGGAGGGGAGAGGGAAGAGCCCUCUGGUCACCCGGGAGCUGGCACCCACCAGGUGGAAGUGAUGCUGGGUCCUGACAGAAGGCAGACGUCUCCCGAGUCUCCUGCCCUGAAUGGCGAGAUGUCAGACCACUGCAGGAAGGAUGACGCAUGUGGUGAUGAAGGACCUCGAGGCAGGUUGAACCCAGUUCUCUAGCUGGGUCUUAAGCCAAGUUUGCAGCACUGUGCCGUGGCAGCUCUGUCCCCCGGCAGCAUGGAUUUGAGAACACUCAGGUCAGAUUUCACUGGGGUCAGCGAUCUGGAAAGGAGCAGUAAUCGAAAGAGAACAGACGUUUUCUCUCAUGUGCUCCAGAGUGGCCGGCCUGAGAGUCCCAGGGCCUUUUGCAGAGACUGAGAUGUGCUGUUGGCCGGAGGCCUCGAGUCCAGCAGCUAGAGGCCUGAAGCUAAUCAUUGGCGCACCAGGGCAAGGAGAUCGGAGGAAUCGCCAUGGAAGGUUACGGCCAAGGAGGAAGAAAAAUGUCAGGAUAGUGGGAAAGAGCAGCAUUUGAAAACUCCUUGUGAGACCAGAACAGAGUCUGCUCUUAAAAAGAAACAGUUCACGUGGCGGAAAAGCCCGCGUCUGCAGGAGCCCCUGAGCCAUAAAGUGGCUCAUGAAUUAGGGGGCAGGUUUCUCUCCUUUUUCACGCCCCCAGCUUAAAGGAUUGACCUUUGGUCUUGGCAUGCUCCAGAAUACACCAUCGCUUCCUCUCUCUACCUUUCCUGUCCUCUCCUCUGGGAAAGGCUCUGACACUGUCCUGGAGAUCGGGCAUCAGGCUGCCCAGCCGUCUGGGAGGCCUCCAGACCCUCUCCCUGUGCUGAUUGACAGCACGCCUGUACCAUCCUGCAUCCUGGGUGCCUCGUCUCCAGAUCCUCACUAACCUGUAAGCAUCUCGGUGGCAGGACCUGUGUGCUUGCCUAACACGCUCAUGUAUUUCCUAACACGUAGUGUUGAUUUCGUAAAUGUCUGGAUGAAAGUUUGGAUAAACACAUAAGAUUAAUGACCCGUUGUCCUCUAUUCAGGGCAAAACCAGUCUUGUCUGAUCAAGCACCCUGAGCCUUAGUCUCUGGACUGGUUUGUUUAUUUUGUCUAACUGUUGCACAGUGUCCACCUUUCGCUGUCUUUUCUAGGUGAAAGCACCAAACUCAAGUACUCCAGGGAAUAAAUAAUUCAUUCAGCAAAUAUGGUGUAUAAACGGCUGAUUCUCCUAUGUUCUCAACUCUUGUCUAUGUCAGGCUGCAUUUCCUACUUUAUCACUUCCUUAUUAUUAAAGAUCCAACUUUACAAGACAUCAGGAGUAACGGAAAAAAGGACGUUAAGAUUUCACAGGGCGAUUAGGGAACAAGAUAUACAUUGGGUACCAUCUGGCAGAUUCUUAAUUGAUUCUCAACUCAUAAAUCUAGUCUUCCCCCGCGUCUGCCCUGCCCGGGCUGGUUCAUCUCACUUCCUUCUUCUCCCCCACAUCCCUCUGAAAUUCCCCUGUCGGAUGCCAGCAGUUCAGCUGUGUAUACCACGCUCUGCACAACUCCGUAUAAAUAGACUGGCGAUUCUAUCUUUCUUGAGAAAACCUCCUGGGAGUCUGAUGUUAUCUCACUACAGAUGCAAUGGAGCCGCACAAAGAACCAGGUUCCCUUUUGUGUUGGAAAAAAGAAGUUACCAUUGAUUGCCAUCCUCGUGGAACUCAGUCCACAUAACUCUGCACCUCUACAAGACUGUCUUGCUUCUGAGGUCAGCAGUCGUACCAGAUCUGAACGUACAAAGUCAGUGUUCAUGGGGGCAGCUGCCCUAUUUUAUCUGGGGAGUUACUGGGGCUCACAAACCUGCAGCAGCAAGCACUAAACCCACAGAUUUUCAGAAAUACAGCCACAUCUCCAUGAUUCUACCGUCUCCUUCUGGGUUUCGCCUUCUCAUGUGAGAUGUUCCCUGCCUCCAAAAUAUUUCCUAAUUUCUCCUCAAUCCAAUAAAGUUUCAGAAAACCUG
ensembl:lncRNA